rnacentral:rRNA from 1 species
AUACGUAGGGGGCGAGCGUUGUCCGGAAUGAUUGGGCGUAAAGGGCGCGUAGGCGGCCCGGUAAGUCUGGAGUGAAAGUCCUGUUUUUAAGAUGGGAAUUGCUUUGGAUACUGUCGGGCUUGAGUGCAGGAGAGGUAAGUGGAAUUCCCAGUGUAGCGGUGAAAUGCGUAGAGAUUGGGAGGAAGACCAGUGGCGAAGGCGACUUACUGGACUGUAACUGACGCUGAGGCGCGAAAGUGUGGGGAGCAAACAGGAUUAGAUACCCUGGUAGUCCACACUGUAAACGAUGAAUGCUAGGUGUAGGGGGUAUCGACCCCUUCUGUGCCGCAGUCAACACAAUAAGCAUUCCGCCUGGGGAGUACGGCCGCAAGGUUGAAACUCAAAUGAAUUGACGGGG